GAUGGAUUUCCAGCAAACUAGGCCAUCCAGUGCCCAUGGCGCGAGGAGCCGAGAUUGAAGAAAGGCUUCCUUUUCAUCCUACCCCAGCAAGAGUACAGAGGCAGAGUCCCCCGUGUCCCCCAAACAAUGACGACACAGAGGCCAUAGAAACGUCUUUAUUGAAGAGGACAGGAUCAUGCGUAGUUUGGGGACAUGCAGUGAAGGGACAGUCGUGAGCUGUCCUUGGUGUUCGGGGGCCCAGGUCUGCCCUAGACCCGCGGGGCCUUCAGGUUCUCCCUCAGGCUGUUGGUCUGGCCCAAGUGCUGUGAGGGGCCAGUGACUCAAAUUUGCUGUCUUAGACCUGUGACCAGAAGGGCAAGGUGGAAAAGGGAUCUUCAUUAAUGGUGCGGUUCUCAUCCCCACUGAUGAGUGACUCAAGAAUGUCCUGUUAUAGAGCAUUAUGUGGAGAGGAUCACCAUCAUUUGGAGUGUGGAAAUCUGUUAAUUGGGAGUCUGGUCUGAGAGGCUGGGGACAGGAACUAACCUGAAGGUGCUACUCAGGGAAUUUAUUUCUGGGUGACGUAAGCAUCCAGGGAAACCAACAGCAGAAGAGCAACCUGAAAGGAGAACCAGAUCAUACUGUCACGAGCGUGUAGGGAC
rnacentral:lncRNA from 1 species